rnacentral:rRNA from 1 species
AUGUCUGGCUCCGACCUGCGAGGCCGGGGGAUGCCUUCUUCCAUCACAGAAGAAGAUGUGCUAAAGGUGAGGGACGCCAGGUAUCUAACCGGCGAGAUUUCGCAUAGGCUGCCCGCCAAAGGGCAAGUCAUUCCCACUCCCGAGCCUGGUGAGAGUGUGGUGUUCGUGUCCCACUUCCGUCGGGGUUUAGGCUUCCCGAUGGACCCCUUCGUGAGGGGGCUCAUGUUUUAUUAUGGGCUAGAAUUCCAUGACAUGGCUCCGGAGUCCAUCCUCCACAUCUCAUCGUUCAUUGUUGUAUGCGAAGCCUUCCUCCGCACUACCCCUCACUUCGGAUUGUGGCUCAAGACCUUCAACGUGGAGCCGAAGAUGAUCGAGGGACGGCAGGCAGAGUGCGGAGGGGCAGUUAUAAGCAAGAGGGCUGACGCUCCCUGGCCCGAGGGCUCUUUUCAAGAGGAGCUUGGUUUGUGGCAACAGGAGUGGUUCUACAUCACCGCUCCUAGGGGCACCAGAUGGGUGGCGCCGCCUGCCUUUCGCUCGGGUCCUCCACAACGGCUGACGUCAUGGGUCAACAAAGGGCUUGAUUGGGGGCCAUCCAAGGACGUGCCAUUAUUGCAGGGCCGCAUUCGAGACCUCCAAGAGAGGGAUAUCAAUCUGGUCGUAGUGGCGCAGGUCAUGCUGAUUCGGCGCCUUCUGCCCUGCAAACGUCGCCCCCUCCUCCUGUGGGAAUUCAAUCCGGAGGGACCGCAAGCUCUCCAACACUUCAUGGGUGCGACGCCUGUGGAGAUGUAUAAACUGUUCUUUGGAUCACAAGAGAUGCAUCCGGACUUGACCGAGGACGCAGGCCUGAGCUGCAAUCGCUCGGGUACUCAAGAGUGGAUAGCAAAAGCAAAACUAAUACGGUGUCCGGCCCCCCUCCCUGAGACCACGCCGGAUCCCGUGUUAAUCAGGAUGCUGGAGGCUGCGCCUUCGGAAGAGGGCGAAGGGGGGAACAGGAAAGCCACCUCCGCCAAGGAGGCCCUCAAGAAAGGGGGGAUCGACAAUCCCUCCCUCCCUGGGGAGAAGAGGACCGCUUCUGAAUAUCCAGAGGCCAAGGCCUCAAAGCGAGGGAAGAAAUCUUCACCAGAGGGCCCUGCGCCAGGAGAAGCCCCGGCCGCAUUAUUUCCCCAAGGGAAUCAGCCCUCCAGCGAGCCUUCGGAUCUCAGCCCUUCUCAGCAGAGCUCAUCUUCGGGGGAUCAUCGUCCGGAGAUGAUGGAGAGCGAAAUACCUCCAUCUGCCAUACCAUCAUGCGGGGUGGACGACCCUGAGGUGUCGUCACGGAGGGUUUCCCCGAGUCCGGUGGGACCGAGAGGUCUGGCGCCAACUGGUGUACGGUCGGAGGAGCUGAAGGAUCUGCUCGGGCGAGCGUCUAUCUCAGAAGAUCACCGUGCGUUGAUGGGUACGGUGAUUGAAAGGAUUUCAUCCGCUGAGAGCGGAUUGCAUGAAGCCGUCAGAAGUUUACUGAUGGGGUUUGAGGUGGCGGAGCGUUCGGUGGCCAGCCAGACUGAUGGAGUUGCCGAACUGAAUCGGCAACUUGAUGUUGCGGAUGCGGACAUCGCGCUGGUCAAUAAACAACUUGACGAGUCACAAGAUGGAGCCGCUGCUAUGGAGGACCUUCGGGCGGAGCUUGCCCGAACCAAGCAGCAAGCCAGAAAAAGUAAUGCGGCUACCUUGAAGGCGGCCGAAGAGCUAAAAGCCGAACAGGCUGCUCACUGCCGAAGCAUUGAGGAAAUGGCUGAAAUGACCGUGAAGCUGAAGGAUGCUACCGACCGCUAUGAGUUUCUUGAAAGAGAACACCGAGUAGAGCAAGAAGACCUGAAGAAGGCCACCACCAAAGCCAAGGAUGCCCGUUCCGCGAUGAGGGCUAUAAAGGAGGAGCUCCGUCAGGCCAGGGAUAUUGCGGCGGGAAAGCCUUUUCUGCUGCGUAGGAAAUUCACGGAUCUGAGGUAUGCUCAGUUGGGCCAGUUGUGGGGUGCGGAGGAUGCUUAUCUGAAUUUGGCAGCGAGUGCCGCAGACGCAGUCGCACACUUCCGGGGCCAAAAGGAUCACGGAAUGGAAGAGCUUUUUUGGUCGCAAUUCCAUAGUCCGGAGCGUCCACUUCCAUUAACCGAUCGGUUAGCCGAGUGGGCUGAGCUGAAUAGGUUGUCCGGACUUGCCAUGAAGGAUGUCGUGGCUCAUUUGUGGUCGAACAGGCCCGAGCCGAAGAGUUAUUUUGGCUUGGUGAAGCAGUUCCUUGAUGCGGUGCCGCAUAUCAAGGCGAUGAAGCGGUCGACAUGCAUAGAGGGUGCGCGGAUGGCUCUCGCCCGUGUCAAAACAUACUGGGCAGAGAUGGAGGCCACCAACGUUGCAUCCCAGGAUUCGGACAGAAGCCGAUUACCAGCCGAGCACUAUUUUGAGGAAGUCCUGCAGGGCGCUCGUUUAAUAAAGACGCAAUGCUCGAAAAAUGUUAUGUUCAAAUGA